UUAGAGUUUGAUCCUGGCUCAGGACGAACGCUGGCGGCGUGCUUAACACAUGCAAGUCGAGCGGUAAGGCCUUUCGGGGUACACGAGCGGCGAACGGGUGAGUAACACGUGGGUGAUCUGCCCUGCACUUCGGGAUAAGCCUGGGAAACUGGGUCUAAUACCGGAUAUGACCUCCUAUCGCAUGGUGGGUGGUGGAAAGAUUUAUCGGUGCAGGAUGGGCCCGCGGCCUAUCAGCUUGUUGGUGGGGUAAUGGCCUACCAAGGCGACGACGGGUAGCCGACCUGAGAGGGUGACCGGCCACACUGGGACUGAGACACGGCCCAGACUCCUACGGGAGGCAGCAGUGGGGAAUAUUGCACAAUGGGCGAAAGCCUGAUGCAGCGACGCCGCGUGAGGGAUGACGGCCUUCGGGUUGUAAACCUCUUUCAGCAGGGACGAAGCGCAAGUGACGGUACCUGCAGAAGAAGCACCGGCUAACUACGUGCCAGCAGCCGCGGUAAUAC
rnacentral:rRNA from 1 species